CAUCCAUUGUUCAUUAUUCACCCUUCAAAGUGAGAGUCCAAUACAGUCAUGUCUGUGCUUAUGGCUUUUAUCAGUAACAUCCCUCUCCUGAUCGUUCUCGCGACCUCCGCGAACUUGAUGACUGUUCAUCGACGUCCGUGGCCACCUAUUGAGCGAAAUAGGUGUCUAGUUGACAAAGGACAAAUGAUGUGGAAGGACGUUAACACAAUGUGGCAAGCAGACACCUUAUGUGGUAUCUGGUCAUGCGAUGAUACGUGGGACUCUUAUGGCGCUAAUUCUGUAAUUUUAAAUUUCUGCCAAAUUCCUGCUACGUUCCAGGAAUGCGAGGAUACUGUUGUAGACACGACAAUUGAUUUUCCACAGUGCUGUUGGACAUGUGUCACUUUUAACGAAAAAUGCGCCAGCGACGAAUAGAAUUAUCCAGGUGUCGUAGGAGGAGAAAAAUCUAUUUAUAAGUGCACUGUCAAAUAUUAAUUUGAUUUUAAUCAACAACAAAAUGUCCACAUACCACACCAGAAUGGAGUCUUCACCACCCAACUGCUAGAGCAACUGGGUUAGGCGGCAAGCUACGGAAAACUCAUGCAACAUGGAGACGGUCACUGGAAGGCCAUAAGUACCAUGAAAUUAUGUACGAGUAAAAUCAAAUAAAUAAAAAAUAAAAAAUAAAUAUGCAUGAACC